AGAUGGGAGCUUGCUCCCUGAUGUUAGCGGCGGACGGGUGAGUAACACGUGGGUAACCUGCCUGUAAGACUGGGAUAACUCCGGGAAACCGGGGCUAAUACCGGAUGGUUGUUUGAACCGCAUGGUUCAGACAUAAAAGGUGGCUUCGGCUACCACUUACAGAUGGACCCGCGGCGCAUUAGCUAGUUGGUGAGGUAACGGCUCACCAAGGCGACGAUGCGUAGCCGACCUGAGAGGGUGAUCGGCCACACUGGGACUGAGACACGGCCCAGACUCCUACGGGAGGCAGCAGUAGGGAAUCUUCCGCAAUGGACGAAAGUCUGACGGAGCAACGCCGCGUGAGUGAUGAAGGUUUUCGGAUCGUAAAGCUCUGUUGUUAGGGAAGAACAAGUGCCGUUCAAAUAGGGCGGCACCUUGACGGUACCUAACCAGAAAGCCACGGCUAACUACGUGCCAGCAGCCGCGGUAAUACGUAGGUGGCAAGCGUUGUCCGGAAUUAUUGGGCGUAAAGGGCUCGCAGGCGGUUUCUUAAGUCUGAUGUGAAAGCCCCCGGCUCAACCGGGGAGGGUCAUUGGAAACUGGGGAACUUGAGUGCAGAAGAGGAGAGUGGAAUUCCACGUGUAGCGGUGAAAUGCGUAGAGAUGUGGAGGAACACCAGUGGCGAAGGCGACUCUCUGGUCUGUAACUGACGCUGAGGAGC
rnacentral:rRNA from 1 species